CCCUUAGAGUUUGAUCCUGGCUCAGAAUCAACGCUGGCGGCGUGCCUAACACAUGCAAGUCGAACGCGAAAGCCCCGCAAGGGGUUAGUAGAGUGGCAAACGGGUGAGUAACACGUGGGUGACCUGCCUUCGAGUGGGGGAUAACGUCCCGAAAGGGACGCUAAUACCGCAUAACAUCCUGCCUUUGAAGAGGUGGAGAUCAAAGCUGGGGACCGCAAGGCCUAGCGCUCAAAGAGGGGCCCGCGCCUGAUUAGCUAGUUGGUGGGGUAAUGGCUCACCAAGGCAACGAUCAGUAUCCGGCCUGAGAGGGCGGACGGACACACUGGGACUGAGACACGGCCCAGACUCCUACGGGAGGCAGCAGUGGGGAAUUGUUCGCAAUGGGCGCAAGCCUGACGACGCAACGCCGCGUGGAGGAUGAAGACCUUCGGGUCGUAAACUCCUUUCGAUCGAGACGAACAGCCUCCGGGUGAACAAUCCGGAGGUUUGACGGUACCGAGAGAAGAAGCCCCGGCUAACUCCGUGCCAGCAGCCGCGGUAAUACGGGGGGGGCAAGCGUUGUUCGGAAUUACUGGGCGUAAAGGGCUCGUAGGUGGCCAACUAAGUCAGACGUGAAA
rnacentral:rRNA from 1 species